rnacentral:rRNA from 1 species
CAGUCGCCGCGGUAACACGUAGGGUGCAAGCGUUAAUCGGAAUUACUGGGCGUAAAGCGUGCGCAGGCGGCUAUGCAAGACAGAUGUGAAAUCCCCGGGCUCAACCUGGGAACUGCAUUUGUGACUGCAUGGCUAGAGUACGGUAGAGGGGGAUGGAAUUCCGCGUGUAGCAGUGAAAUGCGUAGAUAUGCGGAGGAACACCGAUGGCGAAGGCAAUCCCCUGGACCUGUACUGACGCUCAUGCACGAAAGCGUGGGGAGCAAACAGGAUUAGAUACCCCUGUAGUCCCUGUCUCUUAUAC